rnacentral:lncRNA from 1 species
UGACACGUGUCGAUGACUCAGCAACUCAUUCGCCGCCAUUGAGCCCUCGCGGGCCGCGUAAAACCUUUCCUAUCUCUUACGCGGGCCGCGUAAAACGGAGAAUCAGGCCCUAUAAAUAGAGACCUUCGGCCGUUCAUUUGAAAUCGCACCAAAAUUCUUUCUCUCUCGAAUUUCUGAAGAAUUAAAGUAAUUCUCGGGUAUUAUACCCCCUAAUUAGUGAAGCUCUGUCUCGUUAUUAUAACCAGGAAGCCACAAAGGAAAUACCUAAAAUAGCAAUUACUGAAUGAGUAAUUGGGUAACUUAGUAUGAAGAACAUAAAAGCCAGCUGGAGAGCACUGAAGGCUUAGAAAAGUGGCUAUAAAAGUUACCUAAAUAAAAGAAAGUGU